UGAUUAACACUAGUAUCUGACAUGAAUCCUGGUCAUUAAACAUUUCCAUAAUCAGUAACCAUCGUGUCCUAAAGAAACUGUCACAGUCUCUUCUCUCUCUCUCUCUCUCUCUUCUAUGUUUCAACUUUCAAUGCUCCGAGUCACUCGCUAUUCCCACUAGUAGCACCCAAACAAAACCCAAUACCACACGCAAUAACAGAAAAACAUGCGGUGUUGCAUUCCGACGUUGUUGGCCGUAAUCACCGUACUGUUGUCGGCGGUGCACGGCGUUUUCCUUCCUCUGGAGCGGAGCAUUCCUCCGACGAGCCACCGCGUGGAGGUGGCGGCGCUGAGGGCCCGCGAUAGAGCCCGCCAUGCCCGCAUGUUGCGCGGCGUCGUCGACUUCUCCGUCCAAGGCACCUCCGAUCCAAACUCCGUUGGGUUGUAUUAUACGAAAGUGAAGAUGGGAACUCCUCCUAAAGAGUUUAACGUUCAGAUUGAUACGGGGAGUGAUAUAUUGUGGGUGAAUUGCAAUACUUGCAGUAAUUGUCCUCAGUCUAGUCAACUAGGGAUUGAGCUUAAUUUCUUUGACACGGUUGGCUCAUCCACGGCAGCGUUGAUUCCCUGCUCGGACCUGAUAUGCACUUCUGGAGUCCAGGGUGCUGCUGCUGAGUGCUCCCCGAGGGUUAAUCAGUGCAGCUACACCUUUCAGUAUGGAGAUGGGAGUGGGACAUCGGGUUAUUAUGUUUCGGAUGCAAUGUAUUUUAACUUGAUCAUGGGACAGCCUCCGGCAGUUAACUCUACGGCUACCAUUGUUUUUGGGUGUAGCAUUAGUCAGUCUGGAGAUUUGACUAAGACAGAUAAGGCAGUUGAUGGAAUUUUUGGGUUUGGCCCUGGACCUCUAUCUGUUGUAUCACAAUUGUCAUCUCAAGGAAUAACACCCAAAGUUUUCUCUCAUUGCUUAAAGGGAGACGGCAAUGGAGGAGGCAUUCUAGUUCUUGGUGAGAUUUUGGAGCCAAGUAUUGUUUAUAGUCCACUUGUCCCAUCACAGCCUCAUUACAACUUGAAUCUUCAGAGUAUUGCUGUCAAUGGGCAACCUCUCCCAAUUAAUCCAGCUGUAUUAUCAAUAUCUAACAACCGAGGAGGGACUAUAGUUGACUGUGGUACAACAUUGGCAUAUCUUAUUCAAGAAGCUUAUGAUCCUCUUGUCACUGCUAUAAAUACUGCCGUGUCACAAUCUGCUAGGCAAACAAAUUCCAAAGGAAACCAGUGUUAUCUGGUCUCAACCAGUAUAGGUGACAUUUUUCCUUUGGUAAGUUUAAACUUUGAGGGUGGAGCAUCAAUGGUUUUAAAACCAGAGCAGUACCUUAUGCAUAAUGGUUACCUUGAUGGUGCAGAAAUGUGGUGCGUUGGUUUCCAGAAAUUGCAGGAGGGAGCCUCAAUUUUAGGAGAUCUUGUCCUAAAGGAUAAGAUAGUUGUGUAUGACAUAGCUCAACAACGAAUUGGAUGGGCUAACUAUGACUGUUGGUCUGUAAAUGUUUCGGUGACUAUGAGCAAGGACGAGUACAUCAAUGCAGGGCAGCUUCAUGUUAGCAGCUCCAAAAUACACAUUCUUUCUAAGUUACUACCUGAGGAUGAUAUGCAGUUCAGGAUCAAAUUAACAACGUCAAAAGGCAUGGAUAGCUCUUGUAAGUAGUAUUUCUGAUAAAACUCCAGUAAAGGUAGUCAUAAACUAUGUAGAGGUUUAUUUUAAUACCCUUUGUUUAAGCUUUUUUACUCAUCAUAGGCACUAUGAUUAUAUUAACAUAAAUGUUUAUCCCAGAGGAAAACUAGCUCGGUAAAGGAAAAUGCACUCUGAAUAAAGGAUCAAUGCAAUUAGUAAUGACCAUAAUGGUACACUUUAAAAUAACAUUGCAUAGGGAGAUUAGGCAAAAUUUGGAGAUGAACUUCGGAUGAUUUAGCUUCGAGAAGAAAAUAAUCGGUUUCAUAAGCUUGCCAUUAAGGGUGAGUCUUGCUGAUCUAAAAUAAAUUAAGGAUGAGUCUUUGUACAAUGGUAAAGUUGUUGCUUGGUGAUUGAUUAUACACCUUCGCAUAGCGAGAAGCCUCCAGAGACUAAGAUCUAUCCAAGGCUCAUCUUCCAUUGCAAUUCACAUAAGGGUAACUAGCAUUAGUGUUCAAAUGGUCUGAGGAGUACUUCUUCAUUUGUAAAAUGGUUUUGAUAAGAGCUCAUGGCAUGAGAAUUCUAUUUUACUUUCCGCCAGUCCUCUGCCACAACCAAACCAAAGAAAUUAUUCAUACAAAGGAGAUCAAAAGCAGAAGAUUUCAUCACAAAGUAAGAUUGCAUCAAAUUCCUUUCUUAGCUUAGCCACAAGAUCAUCAAACAGGUUAUUGGCAUAUGAGGGAGAAAAUUCUAUGCCUUAUGCCUUGCAAUCUGGGCAAGACGAGACUCUCUUCUGUUGGAAGUGUUGCCUAGAUAAACUUAUCACAAUUUUUAUAACACAAAAUCGAACUGUAAUAUUUUGUGAAAUUUAGUCCGUACAACGAUGCAUUUAUCUAAACUUCACAUUAUGUUUG